CAUUUUGAGCUGCUGUGACGUCUGCCCGAUCUCGAACGUUUUCAAAGGUCCAAAACUUGUUCCGCCGGCGAGUUAGGAUGAGCAAUCGGGCUUAAUAUGUGAAAGAUGAAAGCAGUCGGAUGCUCCAUUUCUUUUUGAACGAACCGCUCAGAAAGUUGUUACAUGCUGCCAACGGAGAAUCUUUACAACCGUCAUCCAACUCUGAAGUGGGCCCAGAGGUCUGACAAAUUGUACCUCACAAUCGAUCUUCCAGACGCAAAGGAUGUGAAGCUCAAUCUCGAGCCUGAAGGAAAGUUUACCUUCUCUGCCACAAAAGAUGGUGCUCCGUACGAACUUAAUAUCGAAUUGUUUGAUAAAGUUGACACUAAGGAGAGUAAAUCUAAUAUUGGUGUAAGGAACAUCGUAUGCGUCGCGAAAAAAGCUGAGAAGAAAUGGUGGAGUCGAUUACUGAAACAGGAAGGGAAACCGCUUGCAUUUGUUAAAGUUGACUGGGAUAAGUGGAUUGAUGAGGAUGAGGAGGAUGAGAAAGCUGGCGUGGAUUUCGAAGACCAGGAUUUAUCGACUCAAGAGUAGUGCGCACUUCUAGCGGAAAGAAAUGGGUUGUUCUCAGUUGAGACAAAAGAUAAGAAAAGGGUAAUCUAAUAAGAAGAAAAGGCGAAAAAAGAAGUUAAAGAAGAAGACAAACCCGCUGCAGCAGAUAUUUCGGAAAUUGAAGCUUGAUUGCAUUGGUGUGGCAUAAUCGAAAGGAUUUCAACUUGAUAGCUUGACAGAUUAACCAGCUAAAGAAAAGGUUUGGAGUGCUUACUCGGCAAAUCUCCUUCAGUGUUCCUGUCAUUUUGCAGUGAAGCAAAGAGCUUUUUCCUUAGCAUGUAAACAAGUUGUACAGAACCUGUGUAAUCAUGUAAUCAUGUGUGUUUGUUUGUGUAAUCCCAUGUGGUCUUUUAUCAUGAUAAUAUA